rnacentral:lncRNA from 1 species
CGAACUAUGUGUCACUUGUAAACAAGCUAAGUCCAAAGUCAGGCCACACGGUUUGUAUACUCCCUUACCUAUUCCCUCUCGUCCUUGGAUCGAUAUAUCUAUGGACUUUGUGCUUGGAUUGCCUAGGACUAGGACUGGGAAGGAUUCUAUAUUUGUUGUGGUAGACAGGUUCUCAAAAAUGGCUCAUUUUAUAGCUUGUAACAAAACCGAUGAUGCAUCUCAUAUAGCUAGCUUGUUCUUUAAAGAAAUUGUGCGUCUGCAUGGAGUGCCUAAGAACAUCGUAUCCGAUCGUGACACGAAAUUCCUUAGUUAUUUCUGGAAAACAUUGUGGUCUAAGUUAGGUACUAAGCUUCUAUUUUCUACUACUUGUCAUCCACAAACUGAUGGGCAAACUGAAGUAGUUAAUAGGACCUUAUCCACUUUGUUGCGUGUUCUAGUCAAAAAGAAUCUUAAAAGUUGGGAAGAUUGCUUACCGCAUGUAGAGUUUGCAUAUAAUCACUCGAUGCAUUCCACUUCUAAGUUUUCCCCAUUUCAAAUUGUCUAUGGUUUUAGUCCUUUGUCUCCUUUGGAUCUAACCCCUCUUCCUUUGAGUGAGAGAACUAGUCUCGAUGGAAGAAGAAGGCAGAACUUGUUAAAAAGAUCCAUGAGAAGGCUAAACUCAACAUAGAAGAAAAGACCAAGCUCUAUGUCAAGAAAGCAAAUAAGAACCGGCGAGAGAUGAUUUUCGAAGUUGGCGAUCAAGUUUGGGUACAUUUGAGGAAAGAACGGUUCCCAGCCGAGAGAAAGUCCAAACUGAUGCCAAGAAUUGAUGGACCUUUCACCAUAACAAGAAUAAUCAACAACAAUGCUUAUCAGCUUGAUCUCCGAGGUAAGUAUAAUAUCAGUUCUAGUUUUAAUGUUUCUGACCUUGUUCCUUUUGUGGCAGAUGAACCAGAUUUGAGGUCAAAUCCUUUUCAAGAGGAGGGGGAUGAUGCGAUCAUGGACAGCCUAGAGGACUUGGAACUUGAAGCUCAAGAAGAUGGACUAGAAGAACAAGAAGAACCGGAUAUAGAGGAAGCUUUGGAGAUGCCAGCUGGUCCAAUAACUAGAUCAAGGAGCAAGAAACUUAAGGAAGCUAUCGGAGCUAUGCUUAGAAUCAGUUGGAGACAAGCCAAUGUCUUGAGCCAGGAGGGAGAAGUUGCUAUACAAGCCGCAUUGGUUUCUAUACAGGCUCAAGAUGAUCAGUGAAUGGGCAUGUGACCCGUUUGCACUCUUUUUCCCUCUCCUUUGGUUUUGUCCCAAUGGGUUUUCCAAAGGGAGGUUUUUAACGAGACAAACGGCUCACAUCAUAUCCCUCAUUCGCUGAUCGAAUAAGAGGCCCAAAACUUGAAGUAUCGACCUGGAGAAGAAGAGUUUCUUUCUUGUUUCUUUCUUAUUCAAACUUAUUCUUUAUUGUCUUAGUAUUUCCGAGACAAGUCUUGGCUGUCACAGACUUGUUCUCUUUCUUUUUAAACCCUUGUACGCUCCUUGUUAAACUCAUCUAUCUUUUCUAUCAAAAACUCUUCUAAGUUAGAUCAUUUGUUCUCUUGAACAUCUUAGCUUGUAAGUGUGUUAUAUCUUCAAGCAAACCGAUUCUUUGGUGAGUCAUAUCCUUAGAAUCACCCUGGUAUAUCAAAGGCCUUCCGCAUCCUUUGUGUGACCAUUCAUUUCCACCAACUUCUACCUAAAGUUCAGAUCCAAAAUCUACUCAACAUCGUGAGAUCUAGUGCUUAGAGUGACGAUCAUAAGGUGGAAUGUAUCAAGUGGUAUCAGAGCCACUCUAAGCAAGGAUCGACGUGGAUCAGGUUGUGUCUAAUCUAUUUAUACGUUUAGAUCUGUUCUAUCAUGUUAAAAACGAUCUCAAAUUUUAAAUCUUGAUCAGCAAACCUAGUUUGUCACAAUCUGUGUUUGUUGCAUCACAAAUCUAUAGAUCGUUUCAUUCUGUUCUUGAAUCUAGAAAAUCAACAUCAUCGGAACCUUGUUUAAAAGUGUCGUUUCAAAUUCAAACUGAUUAGAUCGCCCUUAGGGUUUUCCGAUUGCUUGAAGAACACGAAUGGUCAUUUUUAUAGAAUAAUCGUUGCUAGUAAUCCACUUUGUGUUGUUUGCAGGAAAGGAUGUCUGAUAAUCGUGAAGAAUCCAGCAACAACAGUAACAAGCUUUUGAUGGAAGCAAUGAUGGCCGAGAUGAAAAAGCUGAUGGCCGCUCAGUUCGAAGAAUUCAGACAAGAGAUCCAACAAUCAGAACUCUGACUACAGGCCGAACCGAGACGCCAGGAGAAGAAAUACUGAUCAAUCUCCGGAGAGGGCUCGUGAACAAACCCGACCAGCCAGAGACGAGGCGGCUGAAGAAUAUUAUAGCCGAGACAGUAACUCGUCAAGGAGCAAUCGCCGACGACAUAGACGAGUAAGAGAGGAAAGGGCAUAUCCUCAAGACAAUUUUGGAGGACUUAAGCUUUGGAUUCCUCCCUUCCAUGGGAAGAACGAUCCUGAUGCCUACUUAGAAUGGGAAAAGAAGAUAGAGUUGGUGUUUAACUGCCAACACUAUACCGAGAUCAAUCGCGUAAGAGUUGCUGCUACUGAGUUUUAUGACUACGCUCUUAGUUGGUGGGAUCAGUUAGUUACAUCAAGAAGAAGGAACGGCGAGUACCCAGUUGAGAGUUGGAAUGAGAUGAAGGCCAUCAUGAGAAAACGGUUUGUGCCAAGCCACUACCAUCGAGAACUACAUCAGAGGAUCAGGAGGCUUACUCAAGGGACCCGGUCUGUCGAAGACUAUUACCAAGAGAUGGAGACUCUCAUGCUUAGAGCCGAUAUAACUGAAGAUCGAGAAGCUACCAUGUCAAGGUUUUUGGGGGGCUUGAACAGAGAAAUUCAAGAUCGCUUGGAAAUGCAACAUUAUGUUGAGGUGGAGGAGAUGUUACACAAAGCCAUACUGAUCGAGCAACAGCUCAAGAGGCGUGUUCCCACUAAGACAAGUUAUGGAGGUGGAGCAACCGUUACUAAACCCUUUUACCCGAAAGAAGAAAAGGCAGGAUCUAUUCAGAGGGAAGGAAAACAGAUCGCUUACCCAAAAGCUGAAGCCAAGUCGUAUCCAGCUGCUCAAGAUCACAAAGGAAAGACUGAAACUACGAAUACAAGGUCGAGAGAUGUCAAGUGCUUCAAGUGUCAAGGCAGGGGACAUUACGCGAAUGAAUGUUCAAACCGAAAGAACAUGAUUCUGUUGGAUAAUGGAGAUAUAGCGACUGAUGAGGAAGAGCCUGAGGUUGUAGCUGAGACAGAUCAUGAGGAACUUCCGGCUCAAGGGGCUUUGUUAGUAGCUAGACGAUCUCUAAGUCUCCAAUCCAAAGAUGCUGAGCAGGAACAAGGAGAGAACCUAUUUCACACUCGGUGUAUCGUUCAAGAAAGAGUCUGUAGCCUCAUUAUAGAUGGCGGAAGAUGCACCAAUGUGGCUAGUGAAGUGAUGGUUCAAAAGCUCGGUUUAAAGAUGGAGAAGCACUCGAAGCCGUAUAAGCUGCAAUGGCUCAAUGACAAUGGAGAAUUGAAAGUGAACCAUCAAGUUCGAGUACCUUUGUCUAUUGGGAAAUAUGAGGAUGAAAUCCUCUGUGAUGUCUUACCAAUGGAAGCAGGGCAUAUUCUUGGCCGGCCAUGGCAAUCGGAUUGAAAGGUCAUACAUGAUGGAUAUACUAAUCGGCAUUCUUUUGUUUAUAAUGGCAGGAAAACUACCCUGGUGCCUUUGACGCCUCAAGAAGUUUACCAAGAUCAAGUACAGCUCAAGAAAAAGGAAAAACCAGUCACAAAACCCUCUAAUUUCUUUCUUAGGGCCGGUAAAGUUAAGAAAGCUUUGUUAGCUAAACAACCGAUGCUCUUAUUUGUGUUUAAAGAAGUUCUCACGAGCUUAACUAACUUGACACCGGUUAUACCGAGUGAGAUGAAAUCUCUUUUGCAGGACUAUGAGGACGUGUUUCCUGAAGAGAACCCCAAGGGUUUACCUCCCAUCAGAGGAAUCGAACAUCAAAUAGAUUUCAUGCCCGGAGCUUCCCUUCCGAAUCGUCCAGCCUACAGAACCAACCCUGUGGAGACCAAAGAACUACAACGCCAAGUUAAUGAGCUGUUAGAGAAAGGGUACAUAAGGGAAACCUUGAGUCCUUGUGCGGUGCCUGUCCUACUUGUGCCUAAGAAAGACGGUAGCUGGCGCAUGUGUGUUGAUUGUAGAGCAAUCAACAAUAUUACAGUUAAAUAUCGACACCCUAUCCCUAGAUUAGAUGAUAUGCUUGAUGAAUUGCAUGGUUCUAGUGUCUUUUCUAAAAUAGAUUUGAAAAGUGGCUAUCAUCAGAUUAGAAUGAAGGAAGGGGAUGAGUGGAAAACCACCUUUAAAACUAAGCAUGGAUUAUAUGAAUGGUUAGUAAUGCCGUUUGGGCUAACAAACGCACCUAGCACCUUCAUGCGGUUAAUGAAUCAUAUUCUUAGAGCUUUUAUAGGUAUAUUUGUUGUGGUAUAUUUUGAUGACAUUCUGAUCUAUAGCAAAACCUUAGGAGAGCAUGUUGAACAUUUGAAAUCUGUUUUAGAAGUGCUUAGGAAGGAAAAGCUUUUUGCUAAUCUUAAGAAAUGCACAUUUUACACAGAUAAGCUUGUGUUUCUAGGUUUUGUUGUAGGUGCGGAUGGAAUCAGGGUCGAUGAAGAGAAAAUAAGGGCCAUCAAAGACUGGCCGAACCCUAAAACUGUUGGAGAAGUGAGGAGUUUCCACGGCCUUGCGGGCUUUUAUAGGAGAUUUGUGAAGGAUUUCAGUACAUUGGCCGCUCCCCUAACCGAGAUCAUCAAGAAAGAUGUGGGAUUUAAGUGGGAACAAGCACAAGAAGAAGCGUUUCAAAUACUUAAGGAUCAACUAACCAAUGCACCGGUACUUGUCUUACCUGAUUUCCUUAAGACUUUUGAGAUUGAAUGUGAUGCUUCUAGUGUAGGAAUUGGAGCUGUCUUAAUGCAAGACAAGAAACCCGUGGCCUACUUUAGUGAAAAACUCGGAGGAGCCAUGCUGAACUAUCCUACCUACGAUAAAGAACUCUAUGCCUUGGUGCGAGCACUCCAAACGUGGCAACAUUAUCUGUGGCCCAAGGAAUUCGUUAUUCAUACCGACCAUGAGUCUCUCAAGCAUUUAAAAAGACAACAAAAGCUCAACAAACGACAUGGCCGAUGGAUCGAGUUCAUUGAGACAUUUCCUUAUGUUAUCAAGUACAAGAAAGGUAAAGACAAUGUAGUUGCCGAUGCCUUGUCACGCAGGUAUGCUCUAAUUACUACUCUUGAUGCCAAGCUAUUAGGCUUUGAACAGCUUAAGCUCCUCUAUGCAUCCGAUUCUGACUUUAAAGAGAAAUAUCAGUCUUGUGAAAAAUUUGCUAAGGAUCAUUAUUUUAGACAAGAAGGAUACCUCUUCUAUGAUAAUCGUUUGUGUAUUCCUAAUUGUUCUAUUCGAGAUCUUUUAGUCAGGGAAGCACACGGAGGAGGUCUUAUGGGGCACUUUGGUAUAACAAAAACUUUGAAAAUCAUGCAAGACCACUUCUAUUGGCCGCAUAUGAAAACAGACGUAGAGAGGAUCUGCGAACUAUGUGUCACUUGUAAACAAGCUAAGUCCAAAGUCAGGCCACACGGUUUGUAUACUCCCUUACCUAUUCCCUCUCGUCCUUGGAUCGAUAUAUCUAUGGACUUUGUGCUUGGAUUGCCUAGGACUAGGACUGGGAAGGAUUCUAUAUUUGUUGUGGUAGACAGGUUCUCAAAAAUGGCUCAUUUUAUAGCUUGUAACAAAACCGAUGAUGCAUCUCAUAUAGCUAGCUUGUUCUUUAAAGAAAUUGUGCGUCUGCAUGGAGUGCCUAAGAACAUCGUAUCCGAUCGUGACACGAAAUUCCUUAGUUAUUUCUGGAAAACAUUGUGGUCUAAGUUAGGUACUAAGCUUCUAUUUUCUACUACUUGUCAUCCACAAACUGAUGGGCAAACUGAAGUAGUUAAUAGGACCUUAUCCACUUUGUUGCGUGUUCUAGCCAAAAAGAAUCUUAAAAGUUGGGAAGAUUGCUUACCGCAUGUAGAGUUUGCAUAUAAUCACUCGAUGCAUUCCACUUCUAAGUUUUCCCCAUUUCAAAUUGUCUAUGGUUUUAGUCCUUUGUCUCCUUUGGAUCUAACCCCUCUUCCUUUGAGUGAGAGAACUAGUCUCGAUGGAAGAAGAAGGCAGAACUUGUUAAAAAGAUCCAUGAGAAGGCUAAACUCAACAUAGAAGAAAAGACCAAGCUCUAUGUCAAGAAAGCAAAUAAGAACCGGCGAGAGAUGAUUUUCGAAGUUGGCGAUCAAGUUUGGGUACAUUUGAGGAAAGAACGGUUCCCAGCCGAGAGAAAGUCCAAACUGAUGCCAAGAAUUGAUGGACCUUUCACCAUAACAAGAAUAAUCAACAACAAUGCUUAUCAGCUUGAUCUCCGAGGUAAGUAUAAUAUCAGUUCUAGUUUUAAUGUUUCUGACCUUGUUCCUUUUGUGGCAGAUGAACCAGAUUUGAGGUCAAAUCCUUUUCAAGAGGAGGGGGGAUGAUGCGAUCAUGGACAGCCUAGAGGACUUGGAACUUGAAGCUCAAGAAGAUGGACUAGAAGAACAAGAAGAACCGGAUAUAGAGGAAGCUUUGGAGAUGCCAGCUGGUCCAAUAACUAGAUCAAGGAGCAAGAAACUUAAGGAAGCUAUCGGAGCUAUGCUUAGAAUCAGUUGGAGACAAGCCAAUGUCUUGAGCCAGGAGGGAGAAGUUGCUAUACAAG